rnacentral:rRNA from 1 species
AGAGUUUGAUCAUGGCUCAGGAUGAACGCUGGCGGCGUGCUUAACACAUGCAAGUCGAACGGAACUCUUUGAAUCGAGGCUUCGGCCAAGUGAAUCUGAGUUUAGUGGCGGACGGGUGAGUAACGCGUGAGGAACCUGCCUUUCAGAGGGGAAUAACAGUUGGAAACGACUGCUAAUACCGCAUAAUGCAUAGAGACCGCAUGAUCUUUAUGCCAAAGAUUUUAUCGCUGAGAGAUGGCCUCGCGUCUGAUUAGCUAGUUGGCGGGGUAACGGCCCACCAAGGCGACGAUCAGUAGCCGGACUGAGAGGUUGGCCGGCCACAUUGGGACUGAGAUACGGCCCAGACUCCUACGGGAGGCAGCAGUGGGGAAUAUUGGGCAAUGGGCGCAAGCCUGACCCAGCAACGCCGCGUGAAGGAAGAAGGUCUUCGGAUUGUAAACUUCUUUUAACAGGGACGAUAAUGACGGUACCUGUUGAAUAAGCUCCGGCUAACUACGUGCCAGCAGCCGCGGUAAUACGUAGGGAGCGAGCGUUAUCCGGAUUUACUGGGUGUAAAGGGCGUGUAGGCGGGACUGCAAGUCAGAUGUGAAAACUCCGGGCUCAACUCGGAGCCUGCAUUUGAAACUGUAGUUCUUGAGUGAUGGAGAGGCAAGCGGAAUUCCUAGUGUAGCGGUGAAAUGCGUAGAUAUUAGGAGGAACACCAGUGGCGAAGGCGGCUUGCUGGACAUUAACUGACGCUAAGGCGCGAAAGCGUGGGGAGCAAACAGGAUUAGAUACCCUGGUAGUCCACGCCGUAAACG